UAGUCCACGCCGUAAACGAUGGACACUAGCUGUUGGGAUUAAUCUCAGCGGCUAAGCGAAAGUGAUAAGUGUCCCACCUGGGGAGUACGAUCGCAAGAUUGAAACUCAAAGGAAUUGACGGGGGCCCGCACAAGCGGUGGAGCAUGUGGUUUAAUUCGAUGAUACGCGAGGAACCUUACCAGGGCUUAAAUGUAGAAUGACAGUUGUGGAAACACAUCCUUCUUCGGACAUUCUACAAGGUGUUGCAUGGUUGUCGUCAACUCGUGCCGUGAGGUGUCGGGUUAAGUCCCAUAACGAGCGCAACCCCUAUCUUUAGUUGCCAGCGGUUCGGCCGGGGACUCUAAAGAAACUGCCCGUGUAAGCGGAGAGGAAGGUGGGGAUGACGUCAAAUCAUCACGGCCCUUACGUCCUGGGCUACACACGUGCUACAAUGGUUGGUACAAUGAGUUGCUACAUGGCAACAUGAUGCUAAUCUCAAAAAGCCAAUCUCAGUUCGGAUUGAGGU
rnacentral:rRNA from 1 species